CCUACGUGGCGCAGCAGUGGGGAAUAUUGCGCAAUGGGCGAAAGCCUGACGCAGCGACGCCGCGUGAGGGAUGAAGGUCUUCGGAUCGUAAACCUCUGUCAACAGGGAAGAACGGUCACUGUGCUAAUCAGCAGUGAAUUGACGGUACCUGCAAAGGAAGCACCGGCUAACUCGGUGCCAGCAGCCGCGGUAAUACGGAGGGUGCGAGCGUGAAUCGGAAUUACUGGGCGUAAAGCGCUCGUAGGCGGUAUGUCAAGUCAAGGGUGAAAUCCCCGAGCUCAACGUGGGAACUGCCUUUGAAACUGGCAAACUGGAGGGUUGGAGAGGAUGGUGGAAUUCCAGGUGUAGGAGUGAAAUCCGUAGAUAUCUGGAGGAACAUCAGUGGCGAAGGCGACUAUCUGGCACAUAACUGACGCUGAGGAGCGAAAGCGUGGGUAGCAAACAGGAUUAGAUACCCCUGUAGUC
rnacentral:rRNA from 1 species